rnacentral:misc_RNA from 1 species
AUGAAUGUGAGGGUUUUCUUCAACAAUAUAAGGAUCACCACAUUUUGCACUAAUGGUGUGCAAGGUCUCUCCUUCUCGAACCACGUAAAUCUCAUCGCAAGCCUUGUUCAUGAUGCCCUUCUGGUUCACAAACAAGUUAAAUUCGCUUUCUCUUUCGCCAACAUCACAGUAGUUCAAAACCAGCAGCAUUGCCAUCAACAAAGCAAAGUAGAAAGAAAUCUUCCAUUCCAUUAUAAUUGAUGAAGAAGCACUCACCAUUGUUGAACAACGAGGGUAAUAACUAAAAUUAUUCUUGCUUCUUGAUUCGUUCUGGUCUGAAACAAAGCUUUUGC